CGCGGCCUAUCAGCUUGUUGGUGGGGUAAUGGCCUACCAAGGCAACGACGGGUAGCCGGCCUGAGAGGGUGACCGGCCACACUGGGGCUGAGACACUGCCCAGACUCCUACGGGAGGCUGCAGUCGAGAAUCUUCCGCAAUGGGGGAAACCCUGACGGAGCGACGCCGCGUGCGGGAUGAAGGCCUUCGGGUUGUAAACCGCUGUCACAGGUUAGGAAAGGGCUAGGCGUCAAUAGCGCCAAGUCUUGACAAAGGCCUGAGAGGAAGCCACGGCUAACUUCGUGCCAGCAGCCGCGGUAAGACGAAGGUGGCGACCGUUAUUCGGAAUCACUGGGCAUAAAGCGCACGUAGGCGGCUUUGUAAGUCAGGUGUGAAAUCCCUCGGCCCAACCGAGGAACUGCGCUUGAAACUGCAAGGCUUGAGAGCGGGAGGGGAACGUGGAAUUCCUGGUGGAGCGGUGAAAUGCGUUGAUAUCAGGAGGAACACCAGCGGCGAAGGCGACGUUCUGGCCCGCUUCUGACGCUGAGGUGCGAAAGCCAGGGUAGCAAACGGGAUUAGAUACCCCGGUAGUCCUGGCCGUAAACGAUGGGCACUAGGUAGGGGGAUACCCAACUUUCCCUGCUGGAGAUAAUUCGUUAAGUGCCCCGCCUGGGGAGUACGG
rnacentral:rRNA from 1 species